rnacentral:rRNA from 1 species
AUUGAACGCUGGCGGCAGGCCUAACACAUGCAAGUCGAGCGGAUGACGGGAGCUUGCUCCUUGAUUCAGCGGCGGACGGGUGAGUAAUGCCUAGGAAUCUGCCUGGUAGUGGGGGACAACGUUUCGAAAGGAACGCUAAUACCGCAUACGUCCUACGGGAGAAAGCAGGGGACCUUCGGGCCUUGCGCUAUCAGAUGCGCCUAGGUGGGAUUAGCUAGUUGGCGGGGUAAUGGCUCACCAAGGCGACGAUCCGUAACUGGUCUGAGAGGAUGAUCAGUCACACUGGAACUGAGACACGGUCCAGACUCCUACGGGAGGCAGCAGUGGGGAAUAUUGGACAAUGGGCGAAAGCCUGAUCCAGCCAUGCCGCGUGUGUGAAGAAGGUCUUCGGAUUGUAAAGCACUUUAAGUUGGGAGGAAGGGCAGUAAGCUAAUACCUUGCUGUUUUGACGUUACUCGCAGAAUAAGCACCGGCUAACUCUGUGCCAGCAGCCGCCGUAAGAC